AGCAGCCGCGGUAAUUCCAGCUCCAAUAGCGUAUAUUAAAGUUGUUGCAGUUAAAAAGCUCGUAGUUGAAUUUCGGGGUUAGUAGGUUGGUCAUGCCUCUGGUAUGUACUGGUCUCACUGAUUCCUCCUUCCUGAUGAGCCGUAAUGCCAUUAAUUUGGUGUUGCGGGGAAUUUGGACAGUUACUUUGAAAAAUUAGAGUGUUUAAAGCAGGCUCGCGCUUGAAUACAUUAGCAUGGAAUAAUGAAAUAGGACGUUUGAUUCUAUUUUGUUGGUUUCUAGGAUCGACGUAAUGAUUAAUAGGAAUAGUUGGGGGCAUUAGUAUUCAAUUGUCAGAGGUGAAAUUCUUGGAUUUAUUGAAGACUGACUACUGCGAAAGCAUUUGCCAAGGAUGUUUUCAUUAAUCAAGAACGAAAGUUAGGGGAUCGAAGACGAUCAGAUACCGUCGUAGUCUUAACCAUAAACUAUGCCGACUAGGGAUCGGACGAUGUUAAUUUUUAAUGUACUCGUUCGGCGUACCG
rnacentral:rRNA from 1 species